CAAGUCCAGACAAGUCCUGGUCAAAGCUGGAAAAAUCUUUUGUCUGAAGAUUUGCAGGCCAGGGGCAAGGAGAGAUAAGUAGCAGCUUAAGGGCCGGGAAGUGGUCUUUUGUGUGGGCUCAUCUCGAGGGAGAUAGCCAUCUCAGGGUGCUGCACAUGACUCUUACCAAAGUACCCAGGAAUGUCACAGUGGCAGAAGAAGGUUAAAAAUGGGACCUACAACCAAGAGAGUGAUACAACAUGGAAGAAUGGAAAUAUUCUCUGCAGAUAAUUUAAAGCACUGCAUGUUUUGGACUGUAACUAAUGAGGCACAAUCAUCAGAAAAGGUUUGCUUCAAAUGGACGGCCAGAUGUUCAAGUGCUUCUCUAAAGCUUGUCCAAAAAUCUGAUCUGGGAGAGAGGGCUUUGUGUUCUGUUUUUGUUUUCUUUUGGAUGUGUGUUUUUGUUUCUACAGUUUUGGUGCCAUUUUGCAAUACGUGUGUAUUAUAUUUGCUCAGUUGAUGUGAGAAUGGAUUGGAAAUGACUUUUAGCUCUUAUUUUAAGGCCAUUUCCACAAAGAAUCUAGAACCAAUGGAAAACUUAUAAAAUAUUGAAUGGAAAUUUUUCCCCAAAUUUAUAUUUCAGAACUUUCACAAGCUUUUCAGGAAUUCUGUCAUAAAUGCAAACAUGCUUAACCAUUUCCAUUUUUAAAGUAAUUAUUAUUUUUCAUUUCAAUAGCACAUAAAAGGUACAAAAGAUCAUGUUAUUUUGUUAUCCGUGAUUAAUUAAUCUAAUUAAAACUGAGAAUACAAGGAGGGCACAGUUAUAGAAAGAAAGAACAAAGGAAAAUAUGAAUAAAUUAUUAACGUAGUAUCAAAUCUGAAUUUCUAUGCUAUGGAAAAUCUCAGAACCCAGGAUAGAGGCUAUAGUAUUAAUUUUUGUUGUGGAACAACAAAAAAGAAGAAGAAGAAACUUGACUUGAUAACACUGAAACAUUUUGGAGUGACUUUUUCAACUAAAAUUAUAUGUUUCCAGCAUUAUUGAAACAAACUGCUUUGUUUCAGCAUGUUGAAUCAAAUAGAAAUGUUUGAAUUCUAUAUUAAGGAGCAUUUUCUUAGGAUGGUAAAGAGACUCUGGAGUUCCGUGAGGUUAAAAUGGUAAUAAAAAUUUUGUUUGCUGUUACACCACGCAACUGAAACAUAGAUUUUGAGAUAACAGUCUGAAUAUUUAUAGAAGGCCCCUGUUGUCUAACAGGGGUAGGAUAAGAAAUCAUAGGCCAUGUAGUAAUACACACUGAAGGCAGACAGGAGUGAAUGUCUUCCUGAAGUUCCCUUCACGAUAUCCUUUACUUGCUAUUAAUUCUAGUUUGUUCCCUUUGCAAAAGGCAAUAAUAAAAUCUUUUGAAGUUUUUGUUGAAGAAGGAAAUAAAAAUGAAUGGUAUAGAUAACAUGCAAAGAAAAGCAUUAGAAGUUUUUAACAUUAUCUCUAUUUCCCUCUGAAAUGUCAAGACAUUUAAAAAGAACUUCUGUUAUUUUAUAGAUUUUAAAUAGGAAAAACAAACAACAACAACAACAAAACCAAACAAAACCAAAACAAACAACAACGAAACACUAUGACCAAACCCUCAGACUCCCAUCUCUCUAAAUGUCUUUGCUCCUCAUGGACUUCUUCAAACAGGUCUGAAGCAUGGAGAUCCUUUCAGUCUCGUAGAAGGCGCAGUUAAGAUCAGGGUUCUAGAUGCUCAGCAGAACUGCUCAUGGUGGACUUUGGUGAUUGAGGUCGUACAUGUACGAUCCAGCUGACUACAAGCUUUGAAGCAACCUGAAGGGUGACCAAAGCAGUAUAAAUUCUCAAGACCUCAUCCAGAGAACUAUGGGCUCCGCACACAAGCUUUUAAAAAGACUUAAAGAUCUGAUACAUCUGUAUUAAUUUGGGGUUUAUAGGUCAUGGCUAACGUGUCAAGCUCAUAGAACUGUGGCAGCAAAUGCACUCCUGGGUGCUACUUUGAAGGCAAAAGAAGGAAAGAAAAUUCUUAUCCUUCCCUGAGAAUGAUUUCUCAGGGAAAAUAAAAAACCUCAGAAUAGUCACGAUGACGAGAGGAUUUCUCAUCUGAAGAGAAAUUAGCCAAAGUUUAUAGUGAUGGCAACUUCACAGAGUAUUCUUUGAUCUGUUUUGAUUCUGAGGUCUUGAAAUGGUGAAACUGGAGAUGUGGUAUGAUAUGUUACAUACUCCAGUCUGGGGAAAUCAGUGUUUUCACACUUACGUUAAACCUAUCUGUUUAAGCAGUCCAAGAGCCUACUACAUAUUCUAUCAGAUGAAUAGAGGAGAGCUAAGGUCUCCAGUGCCUUAAUUCACACAGAAUUAUCUGGAGACUUUUGCAUAUGUAUUGAGAUAGAUAUCUUUUGUAUUUAUAACAGAAUAUCUGCUAGAAUAUCCAUGAUAUUCCUAUCACCUUGGACAACCUGAAGCUAUAUUUCCUGUACACAGGAAAAAAACAGGUGGAUGUCUGACAUUCCUAUACCCUCAUUGCUUAUAAGGUCAUGCCUUUUCUGAGGUACUACGGCACCAGAAGUUACCCUAAAACAAACUAUUUCCUUUUAGUGAAGCAUGAAAGAAAUUUCACCAGAAGAGGUUCUGGAAUACUUAACCUUAAUGACUCAAAAAAGAUCAGACAUGAGAGCUGUAGCAGGAUUUCUACUGCAACUCUCAAGCCUUAAACAAUUAUAUGAACCUUUAAAAUAGGAUCUUCUCUCAGAAAAACAACAACAACAACAAAACCGCAUUCUAAAAGUGGGGAUACAUCCUAUAUUUGAACUUGAUCUCCUGCCUCUCAAGUAAGAAAAAAGGAAGAAUGUAUCAACAUUAUAAAAACUGGGAUUUGCACACAGCAUUAACUGCCUAUUCCUAGAUGAGUCUGUGGAAAUCAUGUUUUAUUCCAGAAAUCCAAUGUUAUAAAAAUGGACUUAGUCAGAAAAUUCUCAAUGUAUGAAUGACACACUUUCUAAAGAAGAAAAAAUGAGAAUGUAUGCUUGCUUGCUUCCUGCCUUUCCUUCUUCCUUCCUUCCUUCCUUUCUUUCUUUCUUUCUUUUUUAAAGAGUUUGCUGAACACUAUGCCACUGGGAGUGUCCUUCCACUGGGGAACCUAGAAAAUGUUCACAAAUGAAUAGAUAUUAAAAAAGCAAAGAAACUUCAAUGCAUCAGAAUAUAGCAAAUAUUUGAACAGUGAAGUGAAUUAAAUGCCAGAUGGAGAAUUUAUGACAGUGUAAAAGAUCCCCUGUAGAAACCAGUAAUAUUUUAUCAUCCAGAAAAAGCAUGGUCUGGCUUUCUAUCCACUAAUAAAAGCCCAGGUUGACCUUCCAGUUUAUUUAUAUGUGUUUUUUCUAGAACAUCUGGUUACUUCUAUAUGAGCAGGAAGCAAAAUCAGACUCAUAAAGUUGUUAACACUCAUCAUUAAGAUCUACUGCAGAGUUCAAGUGACGUAAAGUAAAUUAAUUAAUAUGCUAUAUUUUCUGGUGCACCACAUUCUGAUACAUGAGGUAAACUUUUAUGCCUGCUGUUAUGAGCAGAUUUCUGUUGGUAACAUGAUCUCAGAUAGAAGUAUGUAGAGUGAAAUCAGGUAUUAGCUAAGGUAAACUCUUAGUUUCCUCUGCCAGACCCAGGAAAACAGGAAGGAGAAUGAAUCCUACCUACGUAUGACUUGCACAAAUGGGGUCUAGCUCUAUUUUACCCCACUUUAGACAAAAAGCAACAAAUGCUUUCAAAGAAUCUAAGUAAAUGGAAACAAACAAACAGAACACACAAACAAACAAACAAAAAAAGACAAAAUGCCAGUCAAAACAAAACAACAACAACAACAAAACGAACAAAAACAACAGAAAAUCUUAAUCCCAGCAGGAAAUUUUGCCUCUUCUACUUAAGUGUUUGUGAGCAUAGAUACAAAGUCUAGCACGUGUCUCUCGCAGAAUCAUAUCCAGUGUUGUAAAACGUUUCUUUCAUAUAUACAAUUCAGUUGAACAAGUGACCUGCCAUCCUUCAGACUGGCAAAGGAAUAAAAAUGAUGUAUGUUUUCAUUUAUUUUCCUUUCCCAGUUUGGCAUUGAAUUCAGCCCUGGAUUCCUUUCCCAAAAUAAUCCAUGCAUCUUUGAAGAAAAAAAGGGAAACUCAGGUGUCUACUGUCUUUCAAGCAUAAUUUUAGAGUACUCUGCUUGGCCUUUGGCUGCUGCUUCAAAAGCCAGCAGACCAGCAGAUCCUGUGUUGUUUGCUGACCUCCUGAGGAUGUCUUGGACGACCUUGUAUGUCUAGAAUAUAUCAGAUGUUUGCCACUCCUGAGAUCUCUCUGAAUGUGUCUAAUAAGAGAAGUUACUCAAACCAUUUAGGCUUCUUCUUUCCUCAGUUACCCAACAUGGAACUGAGGAUAAUUUCCUGAGAUUUUCUCUGUACAAAAUCAAAAAUAUAUUGUUUUCGAUUAUUAUUGCUCAACAGAAAAAAAACAAAUUUAUUGUAUUCUAUUUUACAUACAACUUCUAAGAAUUGAUUAUAGAUCUUUUUCUCUCUGUUUUGCUUGUUUGCUUUCCUACUGUUUGCUGAUGGAUGAAGUUCUAUUUAGGGUCUGAUUUUAUGAGAAUUUGUACUUUUUAAUACAAAGGCUAAGUAUGGUCUACUGGCUUCUGUGUGACUGCAGAGCUCUGAUGGCACACAGUAAAUAGUAGUUUCUUAUCAUUUCUGAUCUAUCACGAGGUGGAAAAUUGCAGGUUUUUAGUUAUUUGGUAAUGCAUUAGCUGUUUCCACAGUUCCAGCUGGAAUGGGUAAAAUGAGUGCAUAAAAGCUGUCACAUAGUCAUUUUGGAUAACAAAGCGAAACAGAAAUAUUUUUGUGUGAAAAUGAGGCAGCCAUACUGGAGAAUAUGAGCAAAAUGGAGGGAACUGAACACAAGACUCUCAUCCUUAAUCACUCGCUAGAGUUAGCAAAGUGGCAAUUAUUUGCAACAGGAAGCAAAACUGCAUAAUCAACAAAGUUGGACACAUUUCAGUGAAAAUCAAAGCAAAAGCCAAUUUCUGAAAACACUGUGCAAGUCCAUAAAGUCUGUAUAUAUAUUACGUAGUUUAGAAAAAUACAUGUGUUUGGAUUUGUCAUGGGUUCAAAAUAAAGUACAGUUGGUGGUUUUUGUAUAUUUUACAAGUACUUUAUUGUCUAAUGAAAAUUGGAGCAUAAUGUUACUUUAUUCUAAGCCUGUCCCAGCUCAGUAUGUGUGUGUAAUGCUUCAGGACAAUCUAGUACAUUCACUGGUGUCUGCCCACUGCUGUAGCCAAAGGUCUCACUACAUAUUGAAGGGAUCAUGAUACAUAGGAGACCUUGCUGCACAGACCUUCUGCCAAGGAAAUUUAUUUGGGGAAAACUAUGCAAAAUUUUUGAAACUCUCAGAGUAAAAUCUAGCUGGCAGUUUUUGUAACUCAUUAGGAGAACAUUUAAAAGGCUGUAUCAGUAAGAACUGAAUAAAAGACCAGUCUUUCUUGA